UAGCUCUCAACCUUUGGGUUGGAUUGUGGACGCUGCGGGUUCCCGCUCGUCUUAAAUGCAUUUAAUGAAUACCUUGCGGUGCUCAGGCUGCACGGCCAGGCUGCCGGCUAAGUCAUACUUGCCAUGGCGCCGGGCUUGCUUGCGCCCGUUCACUCGCAAGCGAGGGAUUGCAUCCCCAUUUGAC
rnacentral:misc_RNA from 1 species